rnacentral:rRNA from 1 species
CAAUAGCGUAUAUUAAAGUUGUUGCAGUUAAAAAGCUCGUAGUUGGAUUUCUGGUGGGAGCGAUCGGUCUGGCGCUUAGCGCGAGUACUUGCAUCGUCUCCGGCCAUCCUUGGGGAGAGUCUGUCUGGCAUUAGGUUGUCGGGCAGAGGAUCCUCAUCGUUUACUGUGAAAAAAUUAGAGUGUUCAAAGCAGGCUUAUGCCGUUGAAUAUAUUAGCAUAGAAUAAUAAGAUAGGACUUUGGUACUAUUUUGUUGGUUUGCACACCAAAGUAAUGAUUAAUAGGGACAGUUGGGGGUAUUCGUAUUCCGUUGUCAGAGGUGAAAUUCUUGGAUUUACGGAAGACGAACUACUGCGAAAGCAUUUACCAAGGAUGUUUUCAUUAA